rnacentral:rRNA from 1 species
UACGUAGGGUGCGAGCGUUGUCCGGAAUUAUUGGGCGUAAAGAGCUCGUAGGCGGCUUGUCGCGUCGGCCGUGAAAACUUGGGGCUUAACCCCAAGCCUGCGGUCGAUACGGGCAGACUUGAGUUCGGCAGGGGAGACUGGAAUUCCUGGUGUAGCGGUGAAAUGCGCAGAUAUCAGGAGGAACACCGGUGGCGAAGGCGGGUCUCUGGGCAACAACUGACGCUGAGGAGCGAAAGCGUGGGGAGCGAACAGG